CCUACGGGAGGCAGCAGUAGGGAAUAUUGGGCAAUGGACGCAAGUCUGACCCAGCCAUGCCGCGUGCAGGAAGAAGGCGUUAUGCGUUGUAAACUGCUUUUAUACAGGAAGAAACGACUCUUGCGAGAGGCAUUGACGGUACUGUAUGAAUAAGCACCGGCUAACUCCGUGCCAGCAGCCGCGGUAAUACGGAGGGUGCAAGCGUUGUCCGGAUUUAUUGGGUUUAAAGGGUGCGCAGGUGGUUUAUUAAGUCAGUGGUGAAAGACGGUCGCUCAACGAUUGCAGUGCCAUUGAAACUGGUAGACUUGAGUAAAGUAGAGGUGGGCGGAAUUGAUAGUGUAGCGGUGAAAUGCAUAGAUAUUAUCAAGAACUCCAAUUGCGAAGGCAGCUCACUUGGCUUUUACCGACACUCAUGCACGAAAGUGUGGGUAUCAAACAGGAUUAGAUACCCUGGUAGUCCACACUGUAAACGAUGAUAACUAGGUGUCGGCCGAAUCUGGUCGGUGCCACAGCGAAAGCGUUAAGUUAUCCACCUGGGGAGUACGCCGGCAACGGUGAACUCAAAGGAAUUGAGGCGNGAGAGNGCGACGCGACGACGAGGGAGGAGG
rnacentral:rRNA from 1 species